rnacentral:rRNA from 1 species
GACGAACGCUGGCGGCGUGCCUAAUACAUGCAAGUCGAGCGAAUCUUGAGGUGCUUGCACCUCUUGGUUAGCGGCGGACGGGUGAGUAACACGUGGGCAACCUGCCUGUAAGACUGGGAUAACUUCGGGAAACCGGAGCUAAUACCGGAUAAUCCUUUUCCUCCCAUGAGGAAAAGCUGAAAGUCGGUUUACGCUGACACUUACAGAUGGGCCCGCGGCGCAUUAGCUAGUUGGUGAGGUAACGGCUCACCAAGGCGACGAUGCGUAGCCGACCUGAGAGGGUGAUCGGCCACACUGGGACUGAGGCACGGCCCAGACUCCUACGGGAGGCUGCAGUAGGGAAUCUUCCGCAAUGGACGAAAGUCUGACGGAGCAACGCCGCGUGAGCGAUGAAGGCCUUCGGGUCGUAAAGCUCUGUUGUUAGGGAAGAACAAGUAUCGGAGUAACUGCCGGUACCUUGACGGUACCUAACCAGAAAGCCACGGCUAACUACGUGCCAGCAGCCGCCGUAACAC